UACGUAGGGUGCGAGCGUUAAUCGGAAUUACUGGGCGUAAAGCGUGCGUAGGCGGUUCGUUAAGUCAGCUGUGAAAGCCCCGGGCUCAACCUGGGAACUGCGGUUGAAACUGGCGAACUAGAAUCUGGCAGAGGGGGGUGGAAUUCCACGUGUAGCAGUGAAAUGCGUAGAUAUCAGGAGGAACAUCGAUGGCGAAGGCAGCCCCUUGGACCUGUACUGACGCUCAUGCACGAAAGCGUGGGGAGCAAACAGG
rnacentral:rRNA from 1 species